GGGAGCUUGACUUUUGAUUUAUUCUUUCUGGAAUCGAGGAUGACUUAAGAAACUUGAAAUAUAUAAAUAAAUAAAUCAAAAGUACUGCACAUACUGUAGUAUAUUGUAUGUGACUUAUAUUAUGUAAAUUCUACAAACAGCUGGAAAAUGGAAACAGCCAGUAUGUGCCACUAGUGUAAUGUCUCCCUCUUGUGGUCAUGUAGAAAUAUGUGUACAUGUUGGGGUAUUUUUUGUUUGUUUUUUUAAAGCUAUCAUUUGUUAUGUUUACAAAAUGUUUCUACAUCUACAGUAUAUUCGUUAAUUCAUUCAUUUUCAGUAACUGCUUUGUCCUGGUCACGGUCAGGGUGAACCCAGAGUCUAUCCCAGGAACACUGGGUGUGAGGCGGUGAGGCGGUGAGGCACCCUGGAUGGGGUGUCUAUGAUAGGGUACCACAAAAACUAGGGACAAUGUAAUAUAACCAGUCCACCUAUGCUUUCAGAGGUGGGAGGAAACCGGAGAACCCGGAGGAAACCCAUACAGGCAUUCUAAAUGCUUUAUUGCAACUUCAAUUCACCUCAUAGGUAUGCCAAAUAUUAGAUAGGCAGCAUAGUAAAAAAAAAAGGAAGAAGGAAUUUCCACCUGUUCUGCAGUUGCCUGUGUUCAGCAUUGAAUUUAUUUGUGAUGUCACACACAAAAUACUUCUGUCUUAGGCCUACAUCUAUUAAAUACGAUUUUGAGGAUGCCUACAUGUUUUUUGCUCCCUGUUGCAUGAAUGUAACAUGUUAUUGUGAAAGGUGAAUAAAAUUUGUUCAGAGUUAAAUAUGACUGCAUAUACAUAAUGCAAAGCUGAUUUUAAAAAAAAGUAUCAAAAACCACCACCGGCACAGGCACAGGUAGUUACUACUGACAACACUUUAUUAAAGAUGGAGAAGAUACACAGGGUGAGAGAGAGAAAGGAGGGAGGAAGGAACUUAGAGGAAAAAGGAGAUCCAGACUGAUCAAUGCCUGUUAGCACUGAAUAGUACACAUUGUGAACAUAGAGUUCCUCAGAUUGCUCAGUAGCACCACAAUGCCUUUUCCCCAACAUUCUAUACUCACUUAUUUCUGGCCUGUUUAUGGGAUUAGCCUCCCUGUGUUUGCACAUAAAACCUUAAGAUGAGACAAAUGAGGUUUUAUUUAGUUGACCCUUAGAAAGGGCUUUUUUAAAAUGUCUUAAAAGCCUAAACAAAAUCAGUGCAAACCUUUUAGUUCAGGGUAUUAUUGAAUCAGGGGAUUAUUGAAUUGUUCUAGUGGUAGAGUACAGAGAGAGGGCAGGAUCUGUUUUCAUUCAGAGCUUUGUUGGUGUGUGAAAGAGUUUACCGUCUCAACAGAUUUUUUUUUUUUGAAUGCUAACAUGGUGGCAUCCUAAACAACACCAUUAGGUCACAUCUGCGAAAUACUGACUUCAUAAACUAUAGCAAAUAUAACACACUAUAACUAUACUGCAUAUUAUACAAUGUUCAUGUGUCUGUGUGAAUGUAACUUUUAAGCUUGUAAGUUAAACUUGGGUUUUUCUCUCUCUUCCCCUCCUGUGGAACGUCUCUUUCAUUUCCAUAUUCUCUUUUCCCAAUAUCUCUUAUAUAUCUUAUUCAAGGCUUAUAUUUUUUGCCUGACAUUUUCACUUCUUCCUUUGCAGCUCUACAUUUAUUUUAUAAAUUAAAUGUAAAAAAUAAAAGGGGAACAAAUCACACAUUCAUCAGCAAUCAACACUAUUGUUUUUUUUUUUGUUUGUUUUUUUAAAAUAAAUUAGUUCCAAUAAACAAAACAGGUUAAAUUCAAUUCAAGGUAAGAAAACAACAAAAAAAAAAACCCGAACAUACUAUUGUGCUUCUAAACACAACUGACACAGCUGAAUCCUUCUGUUGUCGUACUAUAACCAUUCAUCCAAGCAUUAUAUAUAUAUAUAUGUGUGUGUGUGUGUGUGUGUGUGUGUGUGUGUGUGUAUAUAUAUAUAUAUAUAUAUAUAUAUAUAUAUAUAUAUAUAUAUAUAUAUAUCAUAAAUAUUUACACAGCACACUUAAAUGCACUGAUGUUUAAAGUACCCCUGAACUCUAUUGUGAACUUCAUGUAUGAGAUCAGCUGGUGAUAAAUAAGCUGAAAUAUGCUCAACGGAAGUUAUUGUGCUUAAUAUGCAAAUUAUUAAAUGGUGAUAGAUUUUAGCCAAAGAACCCGCAUGCUAAACUAGCUGGUCAUUUAGCACAACAUUAGCUAAACUUUACCAAACUAAUGUCAGUGAUAUACACAAUUGUGUUUGUUUCAGUAUAUUUCAAAAGGUUUGGCUACUGAGAAUAUGACCACGUAUACAAGGCCUCGGAUACUGAAAUCCCAAUCAGGACUACUGUACCUGUGACACGUGAGCUAGUUUAGUAGAAGUUAACUAGCUAGCUAGCUAGCUAUCUGUAAUCGCAGAAGGACACAGGAUUGUUUCCAGGAUGCAUAUUUAUUGAGAAGUAAUGGUGUCGAGAUGCUCCAAUGCCAUUUAGUGGUUCUAUGGGCAUUAAAUAAAACAAUGUGUCAUUCUACACAGUAUUUUUAUAAUGGUUUACAAUUAUUAGUUCAGGAGGGGUACUUUAACAUUUAUAUAAGCCAUUCAAACCAAUGUCAAUUCCAUAUAUAUAUAUAUAUAUAUAUAUAUAUAUAUAUAUAUAUAUAUAUAUAUAUAUAUAUAGUAUUUCCUGCAGAGAAUUCAAAACAAGAAGAAAAAAAAAGGGAAAAAGUGUGGGUUUUUUUUUUUUUUGCAGCCUUCGUUUCUCCUAGACGAGCACAUUUCACACUGGAUAUGAACAUCCCUGUCCCAAAUUCCC
ensembl:lncRNA